CUGCAGAGGGUGGAGAAGAUUUGGAGAAGAGGCAGGGGCUGCCAGGGGCUUGCAGGGAUGGAAGGAGGAAUGGUGACCCAGGCCUGCGCCCCAGACACCACAAAGCUGGCAGAAGGGAACACGCCACCCCUCUGCCCACCUCUGAGGACUAGGGCUUUUGGCACCGGUGGCAGCUAAGUCCCCACACAUCUGGGUGGGGCCCGCAGAAUGGCCUGGGGAGCUGAGGCUUAGGAUCUGAACAGAGCAGGUGGGGUGGCAGGAGCAGGGGGCAGUGGUCUGAGAAGACUUUCCCUGCCUCCCACCUCCCGGGGCAGGACCUAGGGGAAGGAGGGGAGGGGAGUGGGGUGGCCAGGGGGACACCCAAGGCUCUACCUCUCCAUGCUUUUCUUUCUACUAAUCCAGUAAUCUCAGUGGCAGUGGAGACGUGGCUCAAGGAGCCGGCAAGAAUAGAGCGGAGACCAGGAUCGCCCCAGGCAGGGAAAAAUGACCCAUUCUUUAGAGUGACCUGAAGGUGAUGGAAUCAGUCGGGCGUCCUCCCGGGAGAGGGCUGCCUGCCAGAAACCCAGCGCUCUUGGGUAACUCAGGGACUCCAGUCCCUCACCGGAUGCUGAGCUGUGGGAAGCCCUCACCCCCACACCUUGGGUCCCUAGGCCCCCUCAUCAAGGCAGGGGCCCUGAGUGGCAGGGGCACCCUUGUGUAAAGAAUCGUGCCCCCCCGCAGCCCCCACAGGUAACCUUUUUGAGGACCUAGGGGUCCUGCCCUGGGAACUGGGGUAAACAGGGCAGGUCCAGCCUUCAGCAGCCUCUCCCUGGAGGGGAGACACCCCUCCCCCAUGGCUUCAGUGGAAUUACAAGGGGAACACCCAGGUGGUAUUCGACAGAAGGGAAGAUGGGAGGGCUUCCAGGGUCCACAGACAGCUCGGGGAGUGGGGAGACAGGAAGAACUCAAGCUCAGCUUCUGCCUCCUGACCCCUGGGACCCUCAGGCAGCCCCUCCAGCUUCCUGGGAGUUGUUUCCCCAGGUAGAAUGGGCGGCAGCAGAGCCUCACCUCGUAGUGGGCACAGCGCCCAGGCCAGUGGCUUGCAGUUCCCGGAGUCCUGCAGGUCCCUGGAGAGGCGAGAGCCCUUCUCCCUCCCACCUGCCCUCUUGAGGAACCCAGGGCUGCUCCCUGAGGCUGUAAGCUGGAGCCCUGGAAGGUAACCAUCUCCUGGCUGGACACACGGAAGACAAGUCGGGGCCAGGCGUGAGGACAGACGCCUCAGGAGCCACCUGCUCUGCUCAUCCACGAAGGCCUUAACUGGCUCAGGGGCCCCUGACCUCAGCUUUGCCGGCCUGACCUUGUCCUGCCCUGGUGCUGCCAGUGGGGUGGUGGGUGGCAGUGGGUGUCUGAGGGCCAGCUGGUCUCCUGGCAACUGCAGCCCGAGCUUGGCUUCCAUUUACCCGUUUCUUCCUUCGCUCUUGCAGGAGGCGCUGCAGGGCUCAGAGCUCCUGGAGCUUCCAGUCUAUGGCAUGAGUAAAGCAGGAGGGUGUCUCCUCCAUCAGACCUGGGUUCCAGCUCACUUUCUCCAAAGCUCCAGAACCUGGCCCAAGGCUGGGCUGUGCUCUGUCCUUAGAAAGAAUGGAUGAGUCACAACUGAAUGAAGAUAGCUGAGCCAGUGGGUUUCCCUUAGGGCUCCACAGGCAGUUUCAGCCCGGGGAAGGCCCAGGGAGAUGAAGGCAACCUUGCAGGCUGUGGUGGGUGUGGAGGCAGCAGCCCGGGGCAGGGACUGUGCUGACUGCCUGAGGCCAAGCCACCCCUCUGUAGCCUCCAUCAUCCAUCAGGUCUCAGAGCGCUGCCCUGUGUUCAGUAAGCCAAUGCCAGCACCAUGUGACAAAGACACAGCAGUGAGCAGCUGCCCAGCCCCCUUGCGCUGUGUUUGGAAAAGGAAGCUGGCUUGUUCAGGGGUUCCCAGCAGGAUGGGGGCGGGGCAGGCACCAUGGCAGAGUGAGAGUUCUAGAAGAGAAGCUGGUCCUUCCACAGGCUCCCUGGCCUGGGUGCUGCACCAGACAGAGGGCUGGGCAUUGCCCUGCUCAUUUCCCACCCCUGGGUUGCAGCUGGGAACUGUGUGGCCUUCACAGUCCUGUGAGGUGGGUGCUGUGCUGUGCCCACCUUACAGAUGAGAAAACUGAUGCUCAGAGGCUUGAGUGACCUAGUCAAGGACCUGUCCUUACAGGCAGACUCAGGACUCAGGGAAGAGCUCCCUGACCACAAAGCUCCAGGUGACUCAUGCUGCAGGGGUGCUGUGCUCCAAGGUGCACAGGGUGGCGGAGAUUCGUCUGCAGAGACAUCUCUGCCUGGGACCCUUUCCUGGGGCUCCUAAGGUGCUCGGAGUGUGAGCACCAUGAGAGCCCACUGCAGUCAUGCCACCCAGAAGGUACUCUGGCCUCUCGGUCACCUAUGUGCUUCUGACAAUGACCAAUGCACUUACCUGCCAGGGUCCAGAAUGACUCAGCCAUUGGAGUCUGUAUUUCCUCAGUCCGCCUCUCACUUGCAAGUCCUGAGCCUGCUUCCUUCCACUCUUGGAGCAGUUAUCCAGGACUGUGCUGCGGCUGCUGGGGCCAGGGAGAGACCCUGUGCUCUGGCCAGGGGCUCUGGGGGCUCGGUUAGCACUAAGGCACCAAGUGAGUUGUGCUGAGUGUCGAGGCUUCUUCUGGGAAGGUAUUUUCAAUCACCAAAUGUGCCAUUAAAAAAAUCCGUGUCAGUUAUGUGUGUACUAAGCCUGGACCACAUGGGACAUUGUCGUUCCGAUAAACACGAAUAAGCCAGCUUUCACAUUAGAGAAAUAGCAGUUUCAUGUAGAAAUGUGGUGCUUUUAAAAGAGGUUAAUUAAUAAACGGCAGGUAAUUGUUUGUGGCACACUGUGGCAGAGGGUGAUUUUCAUUUUAGAGGAUGGAAGGGCUAAAUACCCCUCCCCACUUAGCAUUUUUCUGUAAUAAGCACCCCGGCUUCACCCCUGCCUUUCAUUUUUACAGCUGGAGCUGCUUAUCAUAGCUCCAACUUUCACUAAAAAGGAAAAAACUACCAUUUAAAACAAAGCUAUCGAAAACCCAGCAUCAUAUGUAGAGUUUUUAACACAAAUAAAUCAUACAAACUAAGAUUUAUGUUCAUGGAAUGAUGUCAUUCAUUGAAGGCCACCUUCCCAGUGAAAUCCGUGUUCAGUGAUUUUACUUUGAUGGGGUAUGCUUUUUGCUAAGUAGGAAAAACCCAUUCAGUCAUCCUUGCUGCUGUCUUUUCUUACUCUGGCCCAGCACAUCAGAAAGGUUUCUCCCUGGGCCAGUCCACAGAGCCAAGUCCAAAUGGUGAAAAUGGUUUUAACUCCAUAGACUACUUUUAAACCAUAAGUCUGAGAUUAAGACCGUUAAACCUCCCUAAGAAUUUGUGCAAGCCUCAGCAGAAGCUUAUCGUCCUCCCAGGUCUCCCAGAACCUAGAGUGAGUCUCACUGCAGAAUGACGCAUCUGCAGAAGCUUCACCAAAUUGACAUGAGUGAGGAGCAUUAAAAUCAGCACACACUGCAUAUCCAUGCAAUGGAAAAUUAUGUCACCAUGGAAAGGAAUGAAGGUCUGACACUUGCUACAUGAAUGAACCUUGAAAACAUGAUGCUCCAUGAAAGAAGUCAGUCAUAAAAGGUCACACAUUGUGUGAUUCCAUUUCUUUGAGAUGUCCAGCAUGGGCCAGUCCAUAGAGACUGAGGCAGGGUCACAAGGAUCCAAGAGUUGAAGAGGGAGACAGGAGAGUCAGGGUCAGGAUGGAGAGGAGACGUGAGAAUACCAGGAAGAUUCCUCCGGCUGUGCUGGCUCUGAAGACAGAGGAAGGGGCGGUGAGACAUGGUUCAAGAACAGUCCCCAGUCUGUCACUCCCAGGCCUGUGACCCUGGGCAUAGGACCCAAGAAAGAGAGGUGAUACCCACCUCUCAGGAUUGCUGCCCGGAACAAAUAAAGUGAUGGGCUUUACAGAAACAGCGUAACCACACUGUGAUCAUUUACCCUCUUUCUUGGAAGGUGGAUUCCUUCCAGAAGACGCCCUAAUCAUUGGUUCAGCUGCCUGUCAGCCUGACCCUGACCAGCCAUGGGGAGCCACACCCAUCCCAGAGACAUUCUCCAUGCUUCUGCUUCCUGGACGUGGCCACAGCAUCCCCAAGGCACACGUUGGCACUUAGGAUGUGUCCUGCGUGGGGCAGGACAGAUGGCAUGAACUCUUGCAGCUCAUCAGUGGGCAGGCGGCCCCAGCUCCUUUCCAAGGCUGGGUGGGGAUCGUGUAGAGGUUAGGGGGACCCUCAUAGGGAGACCAGCACUCAGGGUCCCCUCCCCCUGCAGACGCCAAGUCGGCCUUUCAGUCCCCCUUGGCUGAUUCCGCGGAACAGCCUCUGCCCCCGCUGGCCGGGGGCUUGGGGCAGAAAGUCUCACUCCUUAUCCCAGGAACAGAGGGAGAAACAUUGAGAAUGAAAGUGACUGUGUAAUCCUUGUGGAAAGAAUGAUUUGGGUUGCAUGUAAUCCCCGGCAGGAAAGCUGGAGUCAUUUCAGACUCUGGCUGUGUAGAAGCUGCGCUGGGGAGGGGCCAGCUGGACCGAGCCGCGCGUGCAGGAAUCCCCCCGGACCCUGCUCGAGAAACUGAGCUACAAAGUUGUUCCAUAGUAGCCGAGCUGCCUUUCUUUCCAUCGGCACACGUGGCUUCUGGAAAGGGGUCUCUCGGGCCCCUGGGAGUUUUUCCAUAGAGUUGAGCUGCCUUUCUUUUCAUCUGCACACGUGGCUUCUGGAAGGGGGGUCUCUCGGGCCCCUGGGGACAGCUCAGUCGCAGCCGCUUGGCUCCUAGCGUGCAUCAGACCCCAGGAAGGAGGCUGGGCUCCGGUGACCCUGUGGCCCGACACCGGCCCCCCUGACAGUGAGCAGGGGCCACCCAGGAAGGACCGCUUUUGGAGGGAGGGACGUACCUUUUCAGAUCCUUGGCGGGGAAGCCAGACAGGGUGUCCCAGGCUCCCCAGGGUCAGAACCAAUAUCCCCCCUGAGACCUGAUGCCCCAACACUUCAACGUUCUGCUCCAAGCACUGCUCCCCGGGGAAAUCUGGGUUUACUCAAAGCAAAGCAUGCAGCUCACUUCUCUUCCCACCACUCUGCUGCCUGGCUGGCCCAGGGGUGCUGCUUUCCACUCGAGAAGCCCAAGCUCCUGACAGGUAGGCCCUGGACUUGAGGUCCUCCCAACCCCGUGCCCGCCUCCACCCUCUCAGCAAGUCACCAUGCUGAGGACGAAGCCUGGAGUCACUGUCCCGAGGAUGAAGCGCUGGAUUCUGCUGCUCCGGAAGAUACCUGGGUCCUGGCUUCCCUGAGCGCCUCCUGCACCCGCCUGGGUUACAGACGCAGCUGCUCUGUGCACCCCCUCCCAACAGCUCCCCUCCCAGGAUCUCCAGGCCUGGGGCAGACUCCUGGGUGGGGACACUCGGUCGGGUCUGAACACUGACUGCUUUGUCGUUCUGUGGGUGACUACUCUGGAAGUGUGGGGGACAAAGGGGGGCCCCGCCCACCCUGGUCAACAAACCCAGUGGGGCAGGACGUCAUGCUUCCUUCUCUAGGGAUCCUCUCCCCUCCAGGCUUGUCCAGGAAAGUCUGCUUCUGCAGGACUGGAUCAGACAGAGGACUUCCUGUGUUCAGCAUCCCUGGAGGGUCACCCCGAGUCUUCCCUGAGGAUCUCUGACACUUAAUUUGCACAGCAGGGAGCGGCCAUCCUGAGGCCCCUUGGGGUCAGGGACUGACUGGGACAUGAGCUGAUGGUUGUUUCUCCUCGCUCAGUGUUGGUGUGUGCGUGGUUGCACACCUAUACAUGUGUGCAAACGUGUGUACUCACAUGCGAGUGUACACAUCCACGUGUGUGUGCACGCACGUGUGUGUCUACCCACAGCCUGCUGUGCAAUAUGGAGGACCCCCACACUGCAGGUGGCUGAUCCGGGAUAGGACCGGGACUCAGGGUCGGGAGCCUGCCCGACACCCCACAGCCCCAAGGGCCAGUGUCGCAGCCGUGGGCUCAGUCGCCCAGGAUUCGUCUGCAGAGGAGUCGCCAGCUUCUCUCUAACUGGCCAAGGGGUGCACAGCAGCUCACUGUGUGGACUGCUUUCUUUUGUGUUCUUCCUACAUGUGGCCUUUGCUAUGGCUUUGAUUUUAAAUUUGUAUUUGCAUUCAGAAGGGGUUUCUAUCCAGAAAGGCUUCCUGCCGCUUGUUCACCAGCGUUCAGAAAAGUCAGCCAGUUUUCUAGCAUCCUGCAAAAGCGGCAGCCGCUUAGUGUGUCUGCAGCGAGCCCCGCUUCGAACUCUGGCUUAGCUAAGGACUGCGGCACCGUCCAUCCCCCAUCCAUGUGCAGCCCAGCCUCUCUCACAGACGCCUCAGUGUCCCCAGCCGAAUGGCACCUCCCUGUGUUCCACAUCCAGGCGCAGGGGCCAGAGCGCUCAGAGCUUUGUGUGCAAAUGGGAGGAAUUUUGCUAAAGCUGGCAAACCAGACAGCAUGUCAGAAACGCCUAUGGCGGAAAUGUGAGCAGCCUGAACUGCAGAGCAGAGCUGGCACCAGACGCCGCGUGAGGUCUUCCUCUCCAAGGGGACCCCGAGUGGAUGGGUAGCAUGAGUGUCCAUCCCAAGGCUAGUGAGCCCCUGCCCGGCUCUGUGCAGUCAGGCCUCGGGGCCCCCCUGGGCUCUCAUAUAGCACCCCUGACCCAUAGGAAGUGCUUGGAAGCAAGGGGUCUUUUGAGCAGACGGCCUGUUGCAUUCAGCACGUGCAUUAAACGUCAUAAACAUUUUCCAUCUCUGUUCCCCUGUGGGCAAGGGUUCUUCAGAG